GGAUCAAAGGGAUUCAAAUUCAUGUUCUAAAUAUUCUUGACUUUAAUGAGGCCGACGAGGAGGAGGGUAGUGAUCAGCCUAAAUAUGCCAUGCAUGAUACGACGUCUACCUCUGCUGCAGUAUUACUUCACCAUAUUGGACCCCGACCUACCAUUGACAUUUGCCAUAGUCUCAAUCCUAAUUGCAAGCCGAAAUUCAAAUGAUAUAUUCUCAAUGUCGCAUCUUGAUCCCCAUCUCAUCUUGGUUAGUCAG